ACGGAAGGCAGCAGUGGGGAAUAUUGGACAAUGGGGGAAACCCUGAUCCAGCGACGCCGCGUGAGUGAAGAAGUAUUUCGGUAUGUAAAGCUCUAUCAGCAGGGAAGAUAAUGACGGUACCUGACUAAGAAGCCCCGGCUAACUACGUGCCAGCAGCCGCGGUAAUACGUAGGGGGCAAGCGUUAUCCGGAUUUACUGGGUGUAAAGGGAGCGUAGGCGGCGAUGCAAGUCAGAAGUGAAAGCCCGGGGCUUAACCCCGGGACUGCUUUUGAAACUGUGUUGCUAGAUUGCAGGAGAGGUAAGUGGAAUUCCUAGUGUAGCGGUGAAAUGCGUAGAUAUUAGGAGGAACACCAGUGGCGAAGGCGGCUUACUGGACUGUAAAUGACGCUGAGGCUCGAAAGCGUGGGGAGCAAACAGGAUUAGAUACCCUGGUA
rnacentral:rRNA from 1 species